GUUGUGGGUACUCUAUGUGAAUUAAAAUACAAAUCUUUUAUAUUACCCUAUGAAGAAAUUCAGGCAUGGAGAAGUUAAAUAACUUGACUGAAGUCCCACAACUAGUAAGGAUGGAAACUCAGAAAAGAAACUUGAAAAUACAUAAUUUCAAGCUUCAGAAUGGAUAUAUGUCAACAAAAACCAGUCCAUUUGUUGGAAAAUUAAGUCCAUCAUAACUGCAGUUUUCUUGUAAAGAGCAAUAACAGGUUGGUUAAUAUUUUACACUCUUCAACUUAUUUUUAGAUUGUUAUACUCCCAUAGUCAUUGUGGUGUU
rnacentral:lncRNA from 1 species